GUGAGGAAUAUUGCGCAAUGGAGGCAACUCUGACGCAGCCAUGCCGCGUGCAGGAAGAAGGCGCUACGCGUUGUAAACUGCUUUUAACCGGGAAGAAACCCCAGGACGUGUCCUGGGUUGACGGUACCGGAGGAAUAAGCACCGGCUAACUUCGUGCCAGCAGCCGCGGUAAUACGAAGGGUGCAAGCGUUAUCCGGAUUCAUUGGGUUUAAAGGGUGCGUAGGCGGAGCGUUAAGUCAGUGGUGAAAUCCUGCAGCUUAACUGUAGACUUGCCAUUGAUACUGGCGCUCUUGAGUGCGCUUGAAGUGGGCGGAAUGUGCCGUGUAGCGGUGAAAUGCUUAGAUAUGGCACAGAACACCAAUUGCGAAGGCAGCUCACUAAGGCGAUACUGACGCUGAGGCACGAAAGCGUGGGGAUCGAACAGGAUUAGAAACCCGAGUAGUCC
rnacentral:rRNA from 1 species